UACGUAGGGUGCGAGCGUUGUCCGGAAUUAUUGGGCGUAAAGGGCUCGUAGGCGGUUUGUCACGUCGGGAGUGAAAACUCGGGGCUUAACCCCGAGCCUGCUUCUGAUACGGGCUGACUAGAGGUAUGCAGGGGAGAACGGAAUUCCUGGUGUAGCGGUGAAAUGCGCAGAUAUCAGGAGGAACACCGGUGGCGAAGGCGGGUCUCUGGGCCGAUACCGACGCUGAGGCACGAAAGCUAGGGGAGCAAACAGG
rnacentral:rRNA from 1 species